AACUAAGCCUUAAAACCAAAUUAGUUGGGGUUGGCUAAAUUUUUUUUCCAAAAAUAGGUGAAAAUUGGAUAGUAAUUCUUAGCUACAGAAGCCGUGCUGCCUAGGAUGGCAACGAGUCAUGUACUUUUAGGUAUCCAAUCCAAUCUUCUCCUAAUGGAACAGAUUUGGUAUUGUAUAAACAGGUUUGGAUGUUUGGCAUGCAUUCAGGUUUAAGAAAUAAGGUUCAGGUUUUACAUAUUAGCUAUCAAACCCAUUUAUAUAAACA
rnacentral:misc_RNA from 1 species